rnacentral:rRNA from 1 species
GCAAGUCGAGCGAACGGAUAAGGAGCUUGCUCCUUUGAAGUUAGCGGCGGACGGGUGAGUAACACGUGGGUAACCUACCUAUAAGACUGGAAUAACUUCGGGAAACCGGAGCUAAUGCCGGAUAACAUUUGGAACCGCAUGGUUCUAAAGUAAAAGAUGGUUUUGCUAUCACUUAUAGAUGGACCCGCGCCGUAUUAGCUAGUUGGUAAGGUAACGGCUUACCAAGGCAACGAUACGUAGCCGACCUGAGAGGGUGAUCGGCCACACUGGAACUGAGACACGGUCCAGACUCCUACGGGAGGCAGCAGUAGGGAAUCUUCCGCAAUGGACGAAAGUCUGACGGAGCAACGCCGCGUGAGUGAUGAAGGUUUUCGGAUCGUAAAACUCUGUUAUUAGGGAAGAACAAAUGCGUAAGUAACUGUGCGCAUCUUGACGGUACCUAAUCAGAAAGCCACGGCUAACUACGUGCCAGCAGCCGCGGUAAUACGUAGGUGGCAAGCGUUAUCCGGAAUUAUUGGGCGUAAAGCGCGCGUAGGCGGUUUCUUAAGUCUGAUGUGAAAGCCCACGGCUCAACCGUGGAGGGUCAUUGGAAACUGGGAAACUUGAGUACAGAAGAGGAAAGUGGAAUUCCAUGUGUAGCGGUGAAAUGCGCAGAGAUAUGGAGGAACACCAGUGGCGAAGGCGACUUUCUGGUCUGUAACUGACGCUGAUGUGC